rnacentral:rRNA from 1 species
UACAGAGGUCUCAAGCGUUGUUCGGAUUCAUUGGGCGUAAAGGGUGCGUAGGCGGCGCGGUAAGUCGGGUGUGAAAUCUCGGAGCUUAACUUCGAAACUGCAUUCGAUACUGCCGUGCUUGAGGACUGGAGAGGAGACUGGAAUUUACGGUGUAGCGGUGAAAUGCGUAGAUAUCGUAAGGAAGACCAGUGGCGAAGGCGGGGUCUCUGGACAGUUCCUGACGCUGAGGAACGAAAGCCCAGGGGGAGCGAAACGGGG